UGUGGCAAACCUAGCCACUCGGACUAUAACUGGACACUGUGCCUUUAAGGGUUGCCUAUAGGUCUGGAGAGAGAUGCAUUGUACCUGUAUGUGCCUGCUUCAUGUAUUCCCUGCAUUUCCUGUACCUAUCUGUUCCGCCGAAUGCAAAUGGCGGUUUGUAUGGGGAUUCCCGUUCGUUUCGCGAACGGCACUUUGGAAGGCCGUUCGUGAAACGAAUGCGAUACCCCCUAAUAGCCCAC